UGAGUAAGUUGAGUGGUCGCGUGUGGAAACACAUGAGGAAAGUCCGUGCUCCAUAGGGCAGGAUGCUGGAUAACGUCCAGUGGGGGUGACCCUAAGGAUAGUGCAACAGAGAGAUACCGCCUAGAUUUACUAGGUAAGGGUGGAAAGGCGAGGUAAGAGCUCACCAGCAUUUAGGUGACUAAAUGGCUAUGUAAACCCCAUCUGGAGCAAGACCAAAAGGGAACAUAAGAAGGCGGUUGCCCGCUGCCGUUCCAGAGGUAGGUCGCAUGAACCUAUUGGUAACGAUAGGUCUUAGAUAGAUGACCAUUUAAACAGAACACGGCUUAUAGACUUACUCAUACA
rnacentral:RNase_P_RNA from 1 species